rnacentral:rRNA from 1 species
GGGUCAGUAGGUUGGUCGUGCCACCGGUACGUACUGGUCUCACUGAUUCCUCCUUCCUGAAGAACCGUAAUGCCAUUAAUUUGGUGUUGCGGGGAAACAGGACUGUUACUUUGAAAAAAUUAGAGUGUUUAAAGCAAGCUAACGCUUGAAUACAUUAGCAUGGAAUAAUGUAAUAGGACGAUCGAUCCUAUUUUGUUGGUUUCUGGGAUUGACGUA